rnacentral:rRNA from 1 species
UUGUGCUAAGGUAGCAUAAUCAUUUGUCUUUUAAUUAAAGACUAGAACAAAAGAUUUAACAAUUCAAUAAAUAUAUGCUUAUUAUAAAUUUCAAUUUAUUUUAAAUGUAAAAAAACAUUUAUAUAAUAAAAAGACGACAAGACCCUUUUAAACUUAACUACAGUUUAACUGGGGCAGUUAAUUAAUUAUUACUUUUACAAAAAUAAUAAUAAAAAAGAUCCAGAAAAACUGAUUACCUGAUCAAGUUACUAUAGGGAUAACAGCGUAAUAUUCAUCUAAAGAUCUCAUUUAAAUGAAAGAUUACGACCUCGAUGUUGAAUUAAUAUCCUAAAUAUAUUGCAGCAAAUAAUCAAA